rnacentral:rRNA from 1 species
GAUGAACGCUGGCGGCGUGCCUAAUACAUGCAAGUCGAGCGAACAGACGAGGAGCUUGCUCCUCUGACGUUAGCGGCGGACGGGUGAGUAACACGUGGAUAACCUACCUAUAAGACUGGGAUAACUUCGGGAAACCGGAGCUAAUACCGGAUAAUAUAUUGAACCGCAUGGUUCAAUAGUGAAAGACGGUUUUGCUGUCACUUAUAGAUGGAUCCGCGCCGCAUUAGCUAGUUGGUAAGGUAACGGCUUACCAAGGCAACGAUGCGUAGCCGACCUGAGAGGGGGAUCGGCCACACUGGAACUGAGACACGGUCCAGACUCCUACGGGAGGCAGCAGUAGGGAACCGUCCGCAAUGGGCGAAAGCCUGACGGAGCAACGCCGCGUGAGUGAUGAAGGUCUUCGGAUCGUAAAACUCUGUUAUUAGGGAAGAACAAAUGUGUAAGUAACUAUGCACGUCUUGACGGUACCUAAUCAGAAAGCCACGGCUAACUACGUG